AAUGCAUCCCUGGAUCAUAGCAGACUCUGCCUAUAGAGGCCUGGGGUCCCUUUGGCAGCACUUUUCUCAAGAAAGUAGAGUCGUGGACAACCAACUGCACAGGUUGGGAGGCUUUGAAGAACAAGCUGCCAUGAAUCCUGCAGCUACAAGGAAAUGAACUCUAUUAACUUGAGUGAGCUUAAAACUAGAUCCUUCCCCAGUCAAGCCUCCAGGUGAGAAUUCAAUCCUGGCUGGCACCUGGAUUGCAGCUUACAGAAGACCCAGCUAAGGCCAUGUCUGGACUUUAAAUCCACAGGAACUGCAAGAUGGUAUCAGAAGUGGGACCUGCAGUGGGGCAUCUAGCAACCCCCAGGAGCAUUGAGUGACCAGGCUUGGGACCCACCGGGCGCAGGGUGUCCAUUGUUCUCUCGAAGCAACUGAGAAUUGUGGAUAUUCUUCAUUAUUCCAUCAUCAUCUCAAACCUCUUGGGUAUAGUGUUUGACUACUACUGUGACCAUAAAUUCCAAUAAAACCUAGGAAAAAUGAAACCACUACAUUAACUGAAAGGUAAGUGGAGAAUUUUCACCUUUUUACUUGAAGGAAGGAUUUGACAGCUUCUUUUGGGCAUAUCAGAAUCGCCAGCAUCACUACUCUUGCACUGUGCGGCCAUUAUUAAGUGAAAUAAGGAUUACUUGAACACAAGCACUGCAAUGCCGCUACAGUCAAUGUGAUAACCCAGCUGGUGACUAAGUGACCAAGGACGGGGAGUAUCUACAGCGGGGAGACUCUGGAAAAAGGGAGGAUUCACAUCCAGUGCCACUGGGGCAGGGCAGAAUGAGAGUUCAUCAUGCUACAAAGAAUGGCACAGAAUAUACGACUUGUGAGUGGAUUAUCUCUGGAAUUUUCUGUUGACUACAUUUGUACUACAGUUGUAUGUGGGUAACAAACUGUGGAAAGUGAAACUUCGGGUAAGGGGGAGGCUACCGUAGAUAGCCCAGUAUUUCUUAUUUUGUGGAUUUGUUUAUCUUUCUGCUCACAUCCUUUUCCUUCUGCAUUACCAUUUUAGUAAAAAUAGAUAGCAUCCA